rnacentral:rRNA from 1 species
GGCGAACGCUGGCGGCGUGCCUAAUACAUGCAAGUCGAGCGAAGUUUUUCUGGUGCUUGCACUAGAAAAACUUAGCGGCGAACGGGUGAGUAACACGUAAAGAACCUGCCUCAUAGACUGGGACAACUAUUGGAAACGAUAGCUAAUACCGGAUAACAGUAUUUCUCGCAUGGGAGGUAUUUAAAAGUUGGUUAUGCUAACACUAUGAGAUGGCUUUGCGGUGCAUUAGCUAGUUGGUGGGGUAAAGGCCCACCAAGGCGACGAUGCAUAGCCGACCUGAGAGGGUGAUCGGCCACACUGGGACUGAGACACGGCCCAGACUCCUACGGGAGGCAGCAGUAGGGAAUCUUCCGCAAUGGGCGAAAGCCUGACGGAGCAACGCCGCGUGAGUGAAGAAGGAUUUCGGUUCGUAAAGCUCUGUUGUUAGGGAAGAAUGGAUAUAUAGUAACUAUACAUGUAAGAGACGGUACCUAGCCAGAAAGCCACGGCUAACUACGUG